GAUGAACGCUGGCGGCGUGCUUAACACAUGCAAGUCGAACGGUGAACGAGGGAGCUUGCUCCCUCCGGAUCAGUGGCGAACGGGUGAGUAACACGUGAGCAAUCUGCCCCGAACUCUGGGAUAAGCGCUGGAAACGGCGUCUAAUACCGGAUACGACGCGCGAAGGCAUCUUCUGCGCGUGGAAAGAAUUUCGGUUCGGGAUGAGCUCGCGGCCUAUCAGCUAGUUGGUGAGGUAACGGCUCACCAAGGCGACGACGGGUAGCCGGCCUGAGGGGGUGACCGGCCGCACUGGGACUGAGACACGGCCCAGACUCCUACGGGAGGCAGCAGUGGGGAAUAUUGCACAAUGGGCGCAAGCCUGAUGCAGCAACGCCGCGUGAGGGACGACGGCCUUCGGGUUGUAAACCUCUUUUAGUAGGGAAGAAGCGAAAGUGACGGUACCUGCAGAAAAAGCACCGGCUAACUACGUGCCAGCAGCCGCAGUAAAAC
rnacentral:rRNA from 1 species